UGGGUAACCUACCCAUCAGAGGGGGAUAACACUUGGAAACAGGUGCUAAUACCGCAUAACAGUUUAUGCCGCAUGGCAUAAGAGUGAAAGGCGCUUUCGGGUGUCGCUGAUGGAUGGACCCGCGGUGCAUUAGCUAGUUGGUGAGGUAACGGCUCACCAAGGCCACGAUGCAUAGCCGACCUGAGAGGGUGAUCGGCCACACUGGGACUGAGACACGGCCCAGACUCCUACGGGAGGCAGCAUG
rnacentral:rRNA from 1 species